CGAAGCGUGCGAUUGGAUUGCACGUCUAAGCAGUAAGGCUGAGUAUUAGGCAAAUCCGGUACUCGUUAAGGCUGAGCUGUGAUGGGGAGAAGACAUUGUGUCUUCGAGUCGUUGAUUUCACACUGCCGAGAAAAGCCUCUAGAUAGAAAAUAGGUGCCCGUACCGCAAACCGACACAGGUAGUCAAGAUGAGAAUUCUAAGGUGAGCGAGCGAACUCUCGUUAAGGAACUCGGCAAAAUGACCCCGUAACUUCGGGAGAAGGGGUGCUCUUUAGGGUUAACGCCCAGAAGAGCCGCAGUGAAUAGGCCCAAGCGACUGUUUAUCAAAAACACAGGUCUCUGCUAAACCGUAAGGUGAUGUAUAGGGGCU
rnacentral:rRNA from 1 species